ACUUUCCUUUGUCUUCAGUUGUCCUGAAGAAAAAGGAAUUCUUCAUUUCAGGGAAGUUUAAACACCUAAAAGCAGAAAGCCCUAAUAUACUCCUGUCCUAAUAUAAAUCCUGCUGUCAUCUUUAACUGCUGACUUCACCCCUCCCCAACCCCUCUGCUUGCUGUCCUAGCAAACUCAAGUAUGUCUAAUAAAGGGGCUUUUUAUUUUAUUUUUUCCUUUUUGAGACUGUCUCAGUGUAGCCCUGGCUGAUCUAAAACUUCCUCUGUAGACCAGGCUAGUCUUGAACUCACAGAGCUUCCACCUGCCUCUGCCUCCCAAGUGCUGAGAUUAACAGUGUGUCCCACCAGGCCUGGCUACUGGAAGGGCUUUUUAAGGAAAGGCUCACCAUGAUGUGAUUCUUUGACCCAAGUUACUCAUCUGCUGGCCAGCUGAGUCCCUUCCUAGUCCUCGGUUCCCUUUCUCCUACUUUUCUUUGCAUGGUGUCGUGUCGCCCUGGAGAUCUUCCUGUAACCUUACACUCAGGGCCUGUCUCCUCGACUCUCUGCUGAAAGUGAUCCUUCUUAAAGAUGGGCCAGGUUGUUUGGCAGUCAUGUCCCCUGGAGUAGGACAUUUAAUCUGCCCGUGGCGGCUUGCCACGGUUGUGGCCUCUUCCCUUAUUUGGCUUCGUUUCUGGAUCCCUGUCCACUCCGGCCAGGUCAGGCCUCCUGGGGUGCACCUCGCUUGCUCGCUCUCUCGCCCGCUGUAACUUUGUGCAGAGCACACAGCAUCCAUACUAGUCAAAGGGAGCAUGAAUGAUGGCCGUUGCCUGCUGGGAGCUUCAAGAGGGAAUAAAUGAGGCCAGUCUGCCCUGCUGUGUCCCAGUACCACCCAGACCACCCACCACGGGGCCCAGCACUCAGUGCUCAGGAGCCAUGUCCAGAAUGAGUGAUGUUAGGAUGGUGGGUGGGUGGCUGGGUGGGAUGGAUGGAUGGAUGCUUGUCAAGCUCAGAAGUUAGCCACUUACCAUGAAAGCAAUAGGCAGCCACAGAAGUGUGUGCAGCAGAACCGGCCCAUUUCCUCAGCCUUGAAUGUGCAUUUGAAUUCUCUGGGACAUGGGAAGGGCCCAAGAUACCACACUUCUAAGGGGCCCAAGAUGUGAUGGCCUGAGACAGCAAGGGCCUUGAUGUGCUGUUCAGUCAGUAGUGACCAGGACCAGUGUCUUAGAGCACUUGAGAAUGUGGCUCGUGUGAAUUGAGAUAUAUUUUAAGUGUAAAACGCCCACCUGAUUUGAAAGAUGUGGUACAAAAAAUAAUUUUUAUAUUGCUCACAUGUUGAUAUGGUAAUAUUUUGGAUAUCUUGGGUUAAAUAAAAUAUAUUAUUAAAAUU
rnacentral:lncRNA from 1 species